rnacentral:rRNA from 1 species
GACGAACGCUGGCGGCGUGCCUAAUACAUGCAAGUCGAACGCAGUGGGGACGGGUGAGUAACACGUGGGUAACCUCCCCUCAGGGGGGAUAACACUUGAAAACAGGUGCUAAACCGAUACUGAUGGAUGGAGCCGGGGUGGAUUAGCUAGUUGGUGAGGUAAAGGCUCACCAAGGCGACGAUGCGUAACUGUGCUGAGAGGGUGAGCAGUCACACUGGGACUGAGACACGGUCCAGACUCCUACGGGAGGCAGCAGUAGGGAAUAUUCGGCAAUGGGCGAAAGCCUGAUCCAGCCACGCCGCGUGAGUGAAGAAGGUCUUCGGAUUGUAAAACUCUUUUGUUUGAGAAGCGUUAUCUACCCAGAAAGCAACGGCUAACUACGUGCCAGCAGCCGCGGUAAUAC